GUGAAAGAUGAAUAUUAUCAUAGAUUGACUGCUAUUCUGAAAGGUGUGUAUGAUUUGUUCAUUCUUAAUUUUAGGUUCCAUUAGAUAUUAUUCUUGAUUUUUCCAUCGCUUUUACGCAAUAUCAACUGAAGACUAUAUUAUUCCACUUCACCUUCUUUAUGUCGCAGAUAAGCCAACUUAGUGUUGUUUCUGAGCUAAUGCAUUCUCAGAAAAUAGUGAAUGCAUAUAAUUCAUUACCAUGAGUUUGCUUGGAAUGUUUUAUUUUUAAAAUAAGGUUAUAUUCUUUUGUCUCCUCUUACAGUGUAGACAGUUACCUUCUGCAAAUACUUGUUAUUGUCAAGAGCUAGAAUUCUUGGCCUAGGCUGACUAUGAUAGGAAUGAUUGUGCCAUUUAUUUUGUUUGAUAAUGCAUAAGAUUUUCUUCCCACACUAUUAUAAGUUAUAUGAUCCAAAAGCUGAUUUUAUAUUUUACCAAUAACAUAUUAGACAUCUUAGUAUCCUUUUAAACUAUAAUGACCAAUUAACAUGAAGUCUAAAUUCCAGAAUCAGCUUAUAUACAAGAUAAUAGAGAAAAGAAUUGUUGGGUUGACCGAUCAACUAUGAGAGAAACUAGACUUCCUUCUUUGAUUUUCUUUAUUAGAAGCUUUACUUAUAACUAUAUUUAACUAAUAUCUCCAAAACUAGAAACUCUUUCAUGUAUAUUAGAGAAUUAGUAAACUUAUCUGCGAUUUGCACUUAAGAAACAUCAAUAAAAUUUUAAAAAAAUUAUCGAGUUAAUAAAAAAUAUAGAUAAUAUCCCUCUUUUAUGAGAAAUAAAAUCGCCAAUAAAUAAUAUACAUAUGCUCUAAUUCAUAAAUUUAAUUUAAUUGUAGCAAAUAAUCUAUGUGAUGUAUAGUUAUUUGUACAUUAUCAAUGAAUAUUACAUAAGUUUUAUCUAAUUAAAGAAAAUCCAAGACUAAGAAAAAUUAAUAUAAAAGUUGCAUAGAUUUUUAAAACUACUAACUAUACAAAUAAAAUAAAUUAAAUUAUUGUUAGUUAUAUAUUGAGAAGCUGAAAAUUUCUAUAAGAAAAAAUAUGUAUUUUUUGCCAAAAGAACAUUAGGAAGACCUCCUCCUUUUACCUUGAAAUAUAAAUUCUAAAACCUUUAUUCUGUUAAUUUAUUGUAUUAUCUGGUAGUUAAAGCAUGUUUUUAUGGGAUACAUUUAAUUGAAUAACUGCAACAUUAAAUUAGAGAUAAUGUGUAACGAUCCGACGGGUCGUUUUGAGCUUUUGUACUUUGCUCGCCAAUUCUGGGGCAUGCCUUGCCCCGUGUGAUACAUUAUGACUUAUAUAAAUUUUGGUUUUUAGGAUAAUCGGAAUGAAUUUGGAGGAACAAUUCUCAGUUUGAAGCUUGAAAUUUGAAAGGUUUGACCGAGAUUUGACUUAUUUGUUAUGAUCUCGGAUCGGAAUUUUUAUUAUUUGGUUAGCACCAUUAGGUUAUUUGGGACUUAGGAGCGUGAUCGGAAUGCAUUUUGGAAGUCCGUGAAAGGUUUAGGCUUGAAUUGGCGAAAUUUAGAUUUCGGUGUUUUCUGGUUGAUCGAAGAGAUUUUGAUAUAGAGGUCAAAAUAGAAUAUUGGAAGUUGCAGUAGUUCCGUUGUUUCAUUUGAAAUGUGUGUGCAAAAUUUUACGUCAUUCGGAUGUGGUUUGGUUGGGGUUUUUUAUCAAAAGCAAAAUUCGAAAGAUUUUGAAAACUUAUGCUUGAAUUCGAUGUGUUUUGGUUGAUUCGAUGUUGUUGAGGUAUUUUGAAGAUUGGUACAAGUUUGAAUAAGGUUAUGGGAUAUGUCUGUAUUGUUGGUUUAGGUCCUGGGGGCCUCGGGGUGAGUUCGAAUGGUUGACGGAGAAGUUUGAAAAUUUGGUGAGCUGCAUAUUUUGUUGUUUCUGGUAUUUUUGCACCUCCGGAUUGGGGACCGCAAGUGCAAUGCCGCAGAUACGAGCAUAAAGGCCGCAGAAGAGGAAGAAGGCAAGGUAGGAUGUGACCGCAGAAGCAGUCGGGAAACCACACUUGCGAGGCCAUAGGUGCGGAGUGAGCAUCAUAGAUGCGAUUCUGGGUCGCUUUAGUGAGAACCGUAGAAGCGGUUCAUUGGCCGCAAAAGCGAAACCGCAGAUGUGGUAGUUUGAUCACAGAUGCAAAAAUGCAUGGGUCAGAAUAUAUAUAUUUCACCCUUCAUGAUUUUGAGAUGGUUUUUACCAUUUUUUAUUCGGGAGAAAGGUGGGAGAGCUAAUUGUAGAGGGAAUUCAAGAGGAUAUCAUGAAGGUAAGAUUUUUGGACCCUAAACUUAUUUCUAUGAUGAAAUUUAACAUUUGUAAGCUUGCAAUCCAUGGAAAAUCAGUAAAAAAAAAUGGGUGAUUAGGACUUGAGAUUAAGAGACCUUUGAGCGGGGUUUGAGGGGUCAUUUGAGGUCCAAUUGAAUGCUAUUGAUAUGUAUAGACUCAUGAGAGGAUGAGGAUUCCAUUGAUGUUAAUUUUUUGAAAUCCAAGACGUGGGCCCGGAGGCCCGGUUUGAGCAAUUACAGCAUUUUGAAUGUAAAGUAUAUUUUUGAGUGGGCUUUGUUCCCUUAGCAUAUUUUAAUAAUUAUGUAAUUAUGGGCUAGAUUUGGAGCAUCUGAAGGUCGAUUUGUCAGGGAAAGGCAUCACGGGCUAGAGUUUGUACCGGUUCAAGGUGAGUAAUGAUUGUAAAUGAUGUCCUUAGGGUAUGAAAUCCCGAAUUGCACGUUGUUAUGCUAUAUUGAGGUAACGCACACGCUUGAUGACGAGUGUGUGGUCGUGAACUAUUGGGGAUUGUGACUUAUUUUGUCCCGGAUGACUAUUUUACCACGUAUUUGACUGAAAAAACCAUUUGCUAUCAUCAUGUUUUGGGCUGAAUGUCAUAUUUAGGCCUCGUGCCAACUAUUUGAACCCUCAGGGGGUUGUUAUUGAUAUUUCCUCAUUGUUUUGAUUUGAUACCUAUACUAAUUCAUGCUAUAUUCUACUAUUUUCAUAACUCAUCCAUGUUUACUCUAUUUUUAACAUACUAAAUGAUAUUUCAAAUAAUAUUUUGGGCUGAGCAUCAUGUUUUACUGUUGCCCGAGUGGCUUAUGUAAUUUUUAACUGAGUAAAGCUGAGAGCCUAUAUUGUGAAGAUACAUUUGUGUCUGGUUGCACGCCACAACGGUGAUACACUAAUUUUUAUUAUGAUGCCGAGGGCUUGAGAUAUGUACGCCACGAGGUGGCUUGUUGAGGCGGAGAGCCUAGUGAUGAAGCCAUGAGAUGGCUUGAUAUUGCUCUUGGGACGUAAGGGGCCCCUCCAGGAGUCUGCACACUUCCAGUAAGCGCGGGUACCCAUUGUGAUGUGAGAUAUAGCCGAGGGGAUGGUGUUGUUCUGUGUUGUUGCCCGAGAUGCUGUUUCUAUUGUUAUUUGUGCCCGAGGGGCAGAUUUUCUAUGUUUAUCUAUUCUAGUUGCUUUGUAUUUAAUUUCUUAACUGUUAAAAAUGUAUUUUAAAGAAGUUUAAACUGAGCUAAGAUGUUUUAAGAGAUUUCACAGCUUCAUUGCUUUCUUAAAUGGCUAUAUACUACUUCUGUACAGCAUGUUGAUAUGCUUUACGUGAUUUUUUAUCGCUCGGUCUUUAUUUAUUUUUGUUACUCACUGAGUUGUAGUAUUCACUUUACUCUCUGCACCUUGUGUGCAGAUUCAGGCAUUUCUACACCCAGUAGCAGGUAUUGGUUCGGCAGAGUCAUUGGAGUUUAGCGAGGUAGCUAUCGAUGUUCGCAACACUGCUUUUCUCCCUCUUGAUGUCAUUAGACUAUAUUUAGUAUAUUUCUAGAAUUUUGUUAUAUUUCAGACAAUAUUAGAUGCUCGUGACUUGUGACACCCCGAUGUUGGGCUGUAUUUAUUUCUGCAGUGUUCAUUUAAACUCACAUUAUACAAUAUUUGAUUAAUUUAAAAGGCUUAUAUUGGCUUAUUAAAAUUAUUGACUUUAAUUUGGGAAUUGUGUUGGCUUGCCUUGUCUUUAUGAGAGACACUAUCACGAUCGGGUCCGAUUUGGAGUCGUGACAAGUUGGUAUCAUAGCCUAGGUUACAUAGGUCUCA
rnacentral:lncRNA from 1 species